UGGGGAAUUUUGGACAAUGGGCGCAAGCCUGAUCCAGCCAUGCCGCGUGUCUGAAGAAGGCCUUCGGGUUGUAAAGGACUUUUGUCAGGGAAGAAAAGGGCGGGGUUAAUACCCCUGUCUGAUGACGGUACCUGAAGAAUAAGCACCGGCUAACUACGUGCCAGCAGCCGCGGGAAUACGUAGGGUGCGAGCGUUAAUCGGAAUUACUGGGCGUAAAGCGGGCGCAGACGGUUACUUAAGCAGGAUGUGAAAUCCCCGGGCUCAACCUGGGAACUGCGUUCUGAACUGGGUGACUAGAGUGUGUCAGAGGGAGGUAGAAUUCCACGUGUAGCAGUGAAAUGCGUAGAGAUGUGGAGGAAUACCGAUGGCGAAGGCAGCCUCCUGGGAUAACACUGACGUUCAUGCCCGAAAGCGUGGGUAGCAAACA
rnacentral:rRNA from 1 species